rnacentral:lncRNA from 1 species
CAUAUGUUGAGCAACACCAGCUGCAAGGUCAUCCAUAUUCAUAUCAGGAUGCUGCUUCCCGAGGACGGCCAUGAUGCAACGAUAGGAAUGCCGAAGUCCCUGGUCGUACUGGUUGUCAGUCUCCUUCUCCAAGUUCUCGACUUGAACCCAGUGGGAAUCGCGGAGAGAUUCGAGCUGAGCCUCGUACAUAGCUUUCUGCCUUUGCAGAUCCUCCUUGACCUUAGUCAGCUCUUCCUCGAGAGUAAUGGCCUUUGUUUGAGCAAGAGAUUCUUGCUCUAUCAACUUCAGAUUCUCGAGGUUCAGCUCCCCU